rnacentral:tRNA from 1 species
GGAAAGUUGCCGGAGUGGUCGAACGGGACGGUCUCGAAAACCGUUGUACGGGCAACUGUACCCAGGGUUCGAAUCCCUGACUUUCCGCAA